CGCACUCCAGCCUGGGUGACAGAGUGAGACUCCGUCUCAAAAAGAAAGAAACAAACAAAAAAUACAGAUUUCUGGUCCUAUUCAUUUAAGUCAGUCCCCUUUGUUUAAUGUAAACAAUAAAAACAUUAAAGUCUAAGAAAUAAUAGAGAUACCAAAAAGAAGAUAUUGUGGGCCGGGCGCGGUGGCUCAAGCCUGUAAUCCCAGC